GUUUCAUUACUCACAAUAUGUCAACACUGGUGAGUCACAAAAAGGUAUUAUGAGUGCAAUACAUUAUGUCCCUGUUCAAGGAAUAAUUGAGACUGUGAAAGUCCCAAGAACAUACAAUCUUCCGUGGAAUCAGAAGAAGGCUGAUGGAGAUUAAUCAACAGACACUGACGUUUGGAUAUAGAUGCCUCCUGCAUGCAUUUGCGAGGUCUGUGUGCUGCAUCGGAGAACACAGCCUUGGAUCACCAUUGCAAAGCUUACUCAGGCUGACCGUCAGAUCUGGACACCUGGGUCCUGUAAGUCUGGAUCCGACAACGAAGACCCUGGAACCAUCAUGCCCUCCUUUUGAAGAAUGGUGAUGGGUGCUGCCCCCCAAACACCGCAGAAUGUUAGUCCUGCUGCAGUUGACAGGGGCUGUGAGUGAUAUCGCAACACCCGUUCUGCACAUGUACAGAACGGGUCUAUACUUGCGCAGCUCCACAACCAUCAGAUUUAUUUAUUUACAGUACUUCUUGUUACUACAAGCCAUAAGUAUACCCAUAUAUAGUUCGCAAAUACUUUAUAUAAGGCCCUGAACUAUGCUUGACCUAACCUUAUAUUUAUUACUCUGUGUAUCAAAGUGCAUUCCUGCUGUGUACUGUACAGUACGCUGCUUUUGUGAGCAUAUUACUCCAACAAUACUAAUUCUUUAUAGGAGUACUUGUCUGUCUGUGCUGUUUUUGUAGCUAACAUACCUGUCACCUCUGAAUCUUCCUCUGACCAGCAUAAUGCCCCAUGUAAUAGACCCCCAGCCACUGGUGUUUUUAUUGACAGAAGGUGAAGGUACAAGUACUGUAGUCUGUCUUUAAUAUGACAAUAGCAGGGGGACUCAGUGAUUGAGAUUUCCUUAUUAUAAAGGAAGCUAGGCCAGUGCUUUACUUUAUAUGUAGCAUUACAGUGCUGCAACAAGUCUGUCUGUGUCAAUGUAUCUCGUUAUAUGACUGUGAUUAUGGUAUGUGUUUCUAAAUAUGUCCACAAGAUCCCGGCCACUGUUAUCAAAUGCAUAGAAAAUCUGAACAUCUACUGUAUUGCCUAAUUAUGAUUGGUGUAGUGGAAGUUAAAUACAGACCUAUGUCUGGACACUCAAACCUUAUUUAGAGUUGAACACAA